ensembl:lncRNA
AAAGCUGCACACUGUGUUCAGUAGAAGUGUGUUUUACUGGGAGGCCAAGUUCAAACAACUUAUCAAGUGCACACAUGUCUGGCAGGGAUAUUCAUCUCUGUCGUGUCCUUCACUCCACACCCCUGCAGUGCGUUGACCCACAGGCUCCGUCUGGCUGACGGCCAAGAGACUCGAGUUCAUCCAAAACGGACGUGGACGUUGUCUUCAUUAAGGCUGUCACAGCAGCUCAGGGACCUUUCAGCACCCAGGCGUCUUCCCCCUGAUGCAGGAGUGACCUCGGCCUGACCUGAAGUUCCUGGACACCGUCUACUCUGCAGGCCCAACAUAAAGCUAUCCGUCUUAUUUAGCAAUCGCCUUCGUUCUUCAGCAGAAAAGUAAGACAUCUGCAUAAGUUUAUUUCCGCUCUACAAACAUGACAUGCUGUUUGUACAUGUAUAUAUUGUGCUGUAUAUCCCUACUGUAUUCAGCUGCCUUGACAGCUGCGUUGUUAAAAACUGAAUUCAUGUUCAAAUAAAAAAACAAAAACACAUUUUCUUUUUAAUGUUUCACUCAGGUCUCUUUCAAAAUGUGCAGUCCAAACACUGCUGAUGUGGUUUAGAAAACACUACAAAAUACCUAAUAAAUAAAUAAUAAACCUGCACCCCGAAACGACUGCGGCCUGACUAACAACGCAGGAGUGAACUCACCGAACUGCAUCGCCUCGAUUUCCUCGACUACAGUGUUGCACGCAACAAUUCCAACCACCUGCAUAACUCAUUAACUCGCAGCAAAUUGGUUCCACAUGUAGAGAUUCACUCCCAUAAAUGGUGUGUCACAUAAAAUGGAAAUCUUGGCAUGAAAUUGUGUUGGAGGAAAAAAUGUGGUAAAACUGUGAGAAACGUCGGAAAGCGGCUCGCUGUAGGAAGCUGGUUUAGGUUUUUUAACUUCUCCACAAAUACAUUUUAAAAGAAGAUGGACAACGGGGUAAAACAUAAACUCAGACAGUUAAAAAAAAAAAAAAAGAUUAGUUUUUUAUUCAUCUGCACUCACAGCACAGGUGCAUCAGUAUGUUGUACUUAUCCUGCAAUUUCUCUUUUAAAGAAACCAUCAAUUACCUCAGUAAAGACCUUUAAUCUUUUGUCCACGUGGCAAGUUUAUUCCAUUCAACAUGACAUCAAUUACACCCACAGAUUUCCAAGCUGCUGGGUGGUUUUGAGUUGGAGGGGAAGUUUCGCCUCAAAAAUGGUGCACACACAAAGAGGGGGCUGGUGGGGGAACGUUGCUUCAGGUAUUGGUGAGACAUGAAAUAUGAUCCGGGAGGUCCAGUUAACAGGAAGUUACCGUGGUGGCGGACGUCUUUUGUUACAUCUAUUGCAAUUGUUACAUCUAUUGCAAGACGGCUGGUGGGAAUUUCACGCACAAUGUAAACUACCAGGAAUGUGAGCUCAGGAAUGUGUUUCAUUGGCUUUACUUCAGUAGUUUGCAAGGAGCUGCUGUCUGACAAAAGUUCAGACAGGUUGAACAUCUUUAACCCAAGGUACUGGCCACAGUUAAGCAAAUUAGGUUUUUGUAUGGACUCCUUAACUAUCCGCUGUGGAGCAGCCAGUAAAGCAAAGGCACUGGAGUGUGAUUUAAAGUCUCCGUGUAGCCGACCUGUUGCAGUAAGACGCUGUUGAUUCUUGUUAAGUUGUGAAUACUCAAUUGGAGGACCGUCAGCUCCAGAUCCUGAUACGUGACACCCACAAAAUGAAGAAUGAAAUGAAAUCUAAUGAAAUCUAACUCCUAAUGCGAUCACAACCCGGCGCCUAUUGCCCACAAUGCAACGCGACCAGUCCGAUAUUCUGCCGGCAGCUCGUGCAGCCUUGAGUCAUAUAACCUCAUGUUCCCGAGUGACAUCACUAGAGGCCGUUUAAGAGGCCCGGCGUUGUUAUGUCAGAUGCAAAGGGGGCCUGAAAUCAUCACGGUCAUCAUCAAUAAGUCAGAGUCAUGUAGAGUCGUGCUUCCUGGCAGACGCAGGCGAUUCAAAGACCCACGUGGAUCUGCACAUCGUCGGGACUAAACUUUCUUUUUUUUUAUCCCCAAUUUCUUUUCCACACAUCCAGCUGUGCAAAUGGGCUGUAGGCAAGCUGGAGUUCCCCUUUAAAUGAUCAAAGUUGCUGGUUUUGCUUCAGCCGGAGGGCUGAGUCAUUCACCUCCUGAUGUUUUGGUCUGUUGUUUAUCAUUUUCCAACCUACCAACCAUACAUCCAACAGAAACUGUUGAUGCAGAAAAUACAUCAUCACAAAUGAUGCUAAUGUCAUCGUCAAUGUCUACGGUAACUGCUCUGUUUCAGGACGUUACACAACGGCACAUAAAUAACGGAGUUCUUGUGGUUGGAAAGAAUUAUAUUGCAGCAGAAACAGCUGCAGCAAAUUAUUUCUUUCACAUAAGCCCAAAGUGUAGCAGUUAUACAGCCUGAAUCUAGCGACACUUUGGGAAAAUAUGACGGAAAGAAUUCAACAUUCCACUUAAGUUUGAGGAUCGUUUAUGCAUUUAAUUUUAAUUUCAUGUUC